rnacentral:tRNA from 1 species
UAUAUAUAGGUGUUUUGUGCACAUUAAGUUUUGAACUUAAUAGAGGGGUUUCAAAACCCCAUAUGUAG